AUUAGUGGCGAACGGGUGAGUAACACGUGAGUAACCUGCCCUUAACUCUGGGAUAAGCCUGGGAAACUGGGUCUAAUACCGGAUAUGACUCCUCAUCGCAUGGUGGGGGGUGGAAAGCUUUAUUGUGGUUUUGGAUGGACUCGCGGCCUAUCAGCUUGUUGGUGAGGUAAUGGCUCACCAAGGCGACGACGGGUAGCCGGCCUGAGAGGGUGACCGGCCACACUGGGACUGAGACACGGCCCAGACUCCUACGGGAGGCAGCAGUGGGGAAUAUUGCACAAUGGGCGCAAGCCUGAUGCAGCGACGCCGCGUGAGGGAUGACGGCCUUCGGGUUGUAAACCUCUUUCAGUAGGGAAGAAGCGAAAGUGACGGUACCUGCAGAAGAAGCGCCGGCUAACUACGUGCCAGCAGCCGCGGUAAUACGUAGGGCGCAAGCGUUAUCCGGAAUUAUUGGGCGUAAAGAGCUCGUAGGCGGUUUGUCGCGUCUGCCGUGAAAGUCCGGGGCUCAACUCCGGAUCUGCGGUGGGUACGGGCAGACUAGAGUGAUGUAGGGGAGACUGGAAUUCCUGGUGUAGCGGUGAAAUGCGCAGAUAUCAGGAGGAACACCGAUGGCGAAGGCAGGUCUCUGGGCAUUAACUGACGCUGAGGAGCGAAAGCAUGGGGAGCGAACAGGAUUAGAUACCCUGGUAGUCCAUGCCGUAAACGUUGGGCACUAGGUGUGGGGGACAUUCCACGUUUUCCGCGCCGUAGCUAACGCAUUAAGUGCCCCGCCUGGGGAGUACGGCCGCAAGGCUAAAACUCAAAGGAAUUGAC
rnacentral:rRNA from 1 species